GAGGGCUUGUUUGGCCGAUGGGCAGGUCGAGUCACUCUCAUGGAGGUCCAAAAUUGAGUUAUUGGUGGAUAUGGCUUGUUUGGAAGGUGGCUCUAUCGGCUUAUGUUCAAAAAUCAACCCAUCAAGGUGUUCCAUAGGAUUUUCAUAUCAUCUAAUUUAUGUCAUUAGACCAUAUAAGCUCUGACAAUGGACAAGAACUAAACCUCUAAAGUUCAGAUGAAUUUGAAUCCACUUUCGGAGUGAUUGGUGUAAGCUUGUAGAGUUGU
rnacentral:misc_RNA from 1 species